rnacentral:lncRNA from 1 species
GUGAGUCAAAGCUCCCAGCAUCCCUCCCGGACCCGGCCCUCGUCAGCCCCUCGCCUGAGCCUUUCCGCCCCUACCCUAGUCAGCAGACCCCUCUCCCACCCACUCCCGGACCCCAUGCCGGUGGAAGAAGGGGACGAGAUGGGCUGAUUUUCCUUUUUAACGGAGGGGAGGGAAAUAUGUCAUUUGUAGAGCUUAAGCCACACAAAGAAAGCGGCGGAAUGAUCCGCUCUCGGCGACCGCAAGUCCCGGCUCGCCCGGCGCCUGCGCGGCACGGGGGUGGGAGCUGCGGCCGGCCAUGUGCGCGGCGGAGCGGCCCCGCGGCCGCCCAGCCUUCCCGCCUCUUUCUGCGGGCGUAGGAGUUGGGGCGCUAAAGUGCGGGCGCUAACCUCCGUGUCUCCCGGACGUGACCGCCGAGAGACCGGGAAUCCGGACUCCUUCGAGACUAAGCUGAGCCGCCUAGCCGAGUCCUGGGAGACGGAAGGGCGGCCGGGAGGCUAGGAUUUAACCUAAAGUGGCCCUAGGUUCAACUAGGCAGACGGGGACAGGAGUCGCUGUAGAGGUACAAGGGAAGAAGGAUGGUCGUUCUCCACGUCCCAUAACCUGAGCAGUCAGGUUUAUAACGAAGAUAUUAACUGCAACCAACGUUUUGUCUGUGCAGUUCCUGCGCAAUUUGGAAACCAUGAACUCUUUAGGAAUGGCAGGAAUAUUUGCCCUGAGCUAACAUCUGUGCCAGUCUUCCUCUGUUUUGUGUGUGGGUCGCCACCAAAGCUUGGCCGCCAGCAAGUGAUGUAGGUCUGCACCUGGGAACCGAACCCAGGCCAUUGAAGUAGAGCAUGCUGAACUUAACCACUGGGCCAUGGGGCCAGCUCCUGGUUAAGCUUUUUAAACAAGAAUCUUUUAGAAAGCCAUUGAAAUAUUUAAGAGGAAAUGAUAUAUCUGGGAUUUGUUUCAGAGUUAUUUGGAAUCACAACAUGGUAUAGAUUGUGGCAGUAUCUAGGAAAUAAGAGAAGUCGGGAUGAUAAUUGUAGAAGCUGAAUGAUGGAUUCUUGGGGCUUCUUCAUGUUCUCUCUACUUCUGUAUAUGUUGAAAUUUUCUAUACUAGAAAGAUUGUUUAAAUAAUUUGAGUGUAUAACUAAUGACUACAAUUAUGCUUUCAUUGUCUUUUGUUAUUCUGAGUAAUUAUGACACCUGCUGAAAUUACAAAGAAUCUUCAACUUAAAUGUCUUACCAAGCAUGGAAAUUAAAAUGCUGGGCAUUAGUACAUAUUGGGCUUCACUUACCAUGCAUUUUUUAGCAGCUACUACAUGCCGUCAUAUUUAAUCUCUUCAAAGGUAGAUGUUAUCCCCAUUUUAUAAAUGAGAAAAUGUAGACCCUAGGUAAGUAAUACACAGGUAGAAAAUAGAAAAAUUAGGGGUUUUUUUUCUCAUUUGGUCUGCCUCCAAAAAUUCAUGUUUUGUUUUUACUAUACCAUGCUGCUUCUUAGACAUGACUGACUGCCCUUUCUUUUUUGAAGAAGAAGAAGAUUAGCCCUGAGCUAACUACUGCCAAUCCUCCUCUUUUUGCUGAGGAAGACUGGCCCUGAGCUAACAGCCAUGCCCAUCUUCCUCUACUUUAUACGUGAGACGCCUACCACAGCAUGGCUUUUGCCAAGUGGUGCCAUAUCCGCACCCGGGAUCCACAUCGGUGAACCCCAGGCCGCCAAGCGGAACUUGCGAACUUAACCACUGCACCACCGGGCCAGCCCCUGACUGCCCUUUCUUCCAUGCUGAUUUCCUUUUAGGAGUGAAAGCCACGCACAACAGGUAGACAGACUCACAUGUGGAAGAUUUCAGAGGUCUUGUCCUCUGCUUUUCUGUUAAGGCAGCCAGAGUCCCAAGGCAGGUGUUGAAGCUAUACUGCACCUUAAGGAAACCAUAGAACAGUGAACCAAUACAAUUCCAGACCUAACUCACCAAGCUCUGGUUCUCCAACAAGUCAUUUGACCAUUGUUACACGUAUUUGUGUCAGUUACUGUUCCAGAUAACUGAGCUGAUAUUCUUAUCUCACUUUCAGAACAUAGAUUAAGAACUCACCCUUGAAGGCAUUAUGCUAAGUGAAAUAAGUCAGACAAAAAGACAAAUACUGUAUGAUCUCACUUCUAUGUAGAAUCUCAAAAAACAAAACUCAUAGAAACAGUAGAUUGGUGGUUGCCAGGGGUUGGUGAGGGGGAGUGUGAUGGAGAGGGUGGAAUGGGUAAAGAUGGUCAAAGGAUACAAACUUCCGGUUAUAAGAUGAAUAAGUUCUGGGGAUCUAAUGUGCAGUAUAGUGACUGGUUAACAAUACUGUAUUGUAUACUUGAACGUUGCUAAGGGAGUAGUUCUUAAAUGUUCUCACCACAAAAAAAUCCAAAGUAACUGUGAGAUAAUGUUGUGUUAACUAACCUUAUUGUAGUAAUCAUUUCACAAUAUAUAUGUAUAUCAAAUUAUCAUGUUGUAUACCUUAAACUUACACAAUGUUAUGUCAAUGAUAUCUCAGUAAAGCUGAGGCGGGAGAAGCAGCUCAGUCAUAACAUACUGACUUCCAUCCUCCUCCUUCCUGCAUCCGGACUCCACCCUGUUGAGUUACAUCCCCCUCAAUUAGAAGCCAUGCCUGUGCAGCUCAGGAAAUGGAGUAAGUGCAAGGUAGAAACAUCCCCCAACUAAAACUGAGCUUGCUUUCUCCUUUCUCUUCCCAAGGACAUGCCAAGUUUGCAAUAUAAGGGAGCUUGGGACAACCGUCUACUCCCAAGCUGGUUCUAACCAUGGAGCUUUAAGAAUACUUAUAUAUAGUAUGGCAGCGUUUAACAAAAGACCAACCCUGAAAUGUGUGGAGGGAAGAGACCAGAUUCUACAAGCACUUGGAGUUAAAGCAAGACUUGAAUCCAAGAAAGGGUCCAUCCAUUGAGGCCUUAAGUGGGAUCUGGGUAUUUACACUCCCUUUAUUUCGCCUCACCCACCCAUCCACUCAAUUAAAAAGCACCAUCCUUAGGCAAAUCUAGACUCAACUAUGCUUAAAACUAUCCCUUGCUUAUUAGCCCACAGAGUGGGUCAUGUGAGACAGACUUGCAGCUCCAUGGUACACUUUCCCUGCCCCUGGAUUUCUGCAUCUCCAGGCCAGAAAAAGUUAACCCGACAGUUAAAGAGCACAAACUCCACUUUUAUCCACAGAGAUGUCCUUUGACCAGGCAAAAGCACAGAAUCAUUGAAGAAGCUAUACUAUGUUUGAUUCUGAAAAAAGAUUUGGUACUCAAGCCCAAAGAGAUGGAAAACUAGGAAAUGAGAAAUUGAGUUUCAAGUUAGAGAAAGAGAACACUUACAGAUUAUUUAAGGGCAUAAAUUCCAAAACGCCCCACCCCAACCUCCUGAGAAGGCUUUCAAUAGGAUGGGAAGCUGAAAGCUGCUUUUCCCGACCAGCUAACCCACCACUCCCUGCAACAGGCAAACAGUAGGCAAGGUAAUGUAUUAGUAAAACAUUGAAGCCCAAAGUCUUGGUGUAAAUUUAGAUUUUUAAUUUUUCACUUGUACUAAAAAUUGAUUUGUCUGCCCUUCUGCCAUCUGUACAAACAUUCAUGCAGCACCUAGAAGAAAGUACUUAGGUAUCCCUCUUCCCAUUAAACUCUUCAAAUGAAACUCAUUUUGCUUUCUUCUUCCAAGGUACCAUCUUUCUCCAUUAGUACAGGCUCAAAACUCUUCAUUUUUUGUUUAGUUUUUAUUUCAUAAUCAUAAACUUAGCUCUGCAGUGCACCUGGAUUUGGAAGGGAAUAAGAACAUGGAACCCAAAGAGCUGCAGUGAGAGUACAAAGAUUAUAGGAUAUAGUGAGCAGAUGAGGGUGGUAGAUGCUCUCCUGAGCUGCAGAAGGAAUGAUCUAGAGGUUAAGAUAAAACAUGUCAAAUUUACUGGAGUUGUCCAUAGUCAGCAAUAGUUAGCCUCUUGAUGGUCCUGCCAUUCCUGGACUAAAGCACUCCAUGGCUUCCUCUUCUGCCCUACCAAAGACCACGUUUGCCAUCCAACUACUCAGUCUUGGCACUGCAGAUGAAAACAGUUCUGGGAACCAUUUGUGUUGGGUCCAGCGUUUGCAAUGAACAAGAAACUGGGACCACAUGCUUCGGGAUGAAACUCUCAUCAUCAAGUUUCUCCCUGCAGGUGGGCUUGCUGCCGGUGCCAUUAUGGCAUGUGAAGUCACCACUCUGGAACAUAAACCCUGGAAUAAGUCUGUGACAGCGGGAAACUUUAUAACUAAAUCCUUUCUCCCCACUGCUCAAGAGCAUGAAAGUUUUCUGCUGCCUUUGGAACUGUGUCUGCAAACAGCUCAAAAGAGACGGCCUGAGGGCUCGCCAUGGACAUCAAUGUCGGAAGAACACUGGGGUUGACCAUAGCUCGGUGGCACUGACAGCAGUGUCUGCAAAGCCAAACAUUCUUCAUUCUUUAAUCCAAAUUGCUUCUCCUCCCUGAAAAGAAAUCUAUUUUAUUUAUGCCUUUAUCUCCACAAGCAAGGACUUUACCCUAAAUAAGACUAUCACUUUUCUUUCAGAUUACUGAGUCUUGUUCUCUUUGAAUUUAACCUUCCCUUCCUGCCCCCAGACCGUCCUGCCUGCCUACCACUGUUGUCUUCGUCAGAUAUUGCUUUCAGCUUGAGACUCCGCUGAGCAUUACCCUACAGGGUACCUAUGUGGACAUCUAGGCUCAUCCUAGAUCUGGACCUUUCCAGCCCUGGGUUUGGGCAGACCUGCAGUCAAGGAUGAUAGUAUGUGAGAACACUUAGCGUAGUUCCUGGCACAUAGCAGGCAAUGUUAGCUUCUUUUUCCUCUUUUUAUCAAGUUAGGUUCUUUACUGCCCCAAAGACUACCAAGUCUUUGAGUUCAUAUCUGACUCAGAAAUUAUUCUCCCUCUGAGAAACAUAUUCACUCCAAUUUUCUGCCUCUCUAAACCUAUCAAACAUAAACAUUCAAAUUCUACCUUCAAAUUUUAAAACAAUCUUGAAAGUCACAACAG